UGCCUCCAUUUCGGAUAAACUUCUUUUUCAAGAAUACGACAUGAUAGCUCACAAUCACAUUGUGAUCUUCAGGAAGAUAGAAGUAGUAUCCCAUGAUUUUCUUAGGAUACCCUAUAAAAUGAGUCUUAAAAAACUUAGCCUCUAACUUGUCUGCCUGCUGUCACUUGAUAUGGGCCGGACAUCUCCAAAUCUUGAGAUACCCAAGAGUUGGCUUCUUACCAUGCUAUAAUUC
rnacentral:lncRNA from 1 species